rnacentral:rRNA from 1 species
GUGCCAGCAGCCGCGGUAAUACGUGGGGUGCGAGCGUUGUUCGGAAUUACUGGGCGUAAAGCGCGUGUAGGCGGCUCGCUAAGUCUGGUGUGAAAUCCCUGGGCUCAACCCAGGAAUUGCAUCGGAAACUAGUGGGCUUGAGUUCGGGAGAGGGUAGCGGAAUUCCUGGUGUAGAGGUGAAAUUCGUAGAUAUCAGGAGGAACACCGGUGGCGAAGGCGGCUACCUGGACCGAGACUGACGCUGAGACGCGAAAGCGUGGGGAGCAAACAGGAUUAGAAACCCUCGUAGUCC